UUUUUUUUUUUUUUUUUUUUUUUUUUUUUUUUUUUUUAAAUACUUCAUAGAUAUGAUUAUAUUAAACAC
rnacentral:ribozyme from 13 species